rnacentral:rRNA from 1 species
CUACGGGCUGCAGCAGUGGGGAAUCUUAGACAAUGGGCGCAAGCCUGAUCUAGCCAUGCCGCGUGAGUGAUGAAGGCCUUAGGGUCGUAAAGCUCUUUCGCUGGGGAAGAUAAUGACGGUACUCAGUAAAGAAACCCCGGCUAACUCCGUGCCAGCAGCCGCGGUAAUACGGAGGGGGUUAGCGUUGUUCGGAAUUACUGGGCGUAAAGCGCGCGUAGGCGGACUGUUAAGUCGGGGGUGAAAUCCCGGGGCUCAACCCCGGAACGGCCUUCGAUACUGGCAGUCUGGAGUUCGAGAGAGGUGAGUGGAAUUCCGAGUGUAGAGGUGAAAUUCGUAGAUAUUCGGAGGAACACCAGUGGCGAAGGCGGCUCACUGGCUCGAUACUGACGCUGAGGUGCGAAAGUGUGGGGAGCAAACAGGAUUAGAUACCCCGGUAGUC